UACGUCACUGAUCUUGUACACACCGCCCGUCAAGCCAUGAAAGUGACCAACACCCGAAGUCCGCUUAUGCGGCCUAAGGUGGGGGCAUGAUUGGGGUU
rnacentral:rRNA from 1 species